UACGAAGGGGGGCUAGCGUUGUUCGGAAUUACUGGGCGUAAAGCGAACGUAGGCGGUGUUCCAUGUCAGAGGUGAAAGCCUGGGGCUCAACUCCAGAAUUGCCUUUGAAACGGGGACGCUUGAGUCCGAGAGAGGGUGGCGGAAUUCCUAGUGUAGAGGUGAAAUUCGUAGAUAUUAGGAAGAACACCAGUGGCGAAGGCGGCCACCUGGCUCGGUACUGACGCUCAGGUUCGAAAGCGUGGGGAGCAAACAGG
rnacentral:rRNA from 1 species